rnacentral:rRNA from 1 species
UACAGAGGUCCCAAGCGUUGUUCGGAUUCACUGGGCGUAAAGGGUGCGUAGGCGGUCGGAUAAGUCUGAUGUGAAAUCUUCGAGCUUAACUCGGAAACUGCAUCGGAAACUAUCUGGCUAGAGGAUUGGAGGGGAGACUGGAAUUCUCGGUGUAGCAGUGAAAUGCGUAGAUAUCGAGAGGAACACCAGUGGCGAAGGCGAGUCUCUGGACAAUUCCUGACGCUGAGGCACGAAAGCUAGGGGAGCAAACAGG